UCGCUAGUAACCGCGUAUCAGCCAUGGCGCGGUGAAUAUGUUCCUGGGUCUUGUACUCACCGCCUGUCAAGUGAUGAAAGGAAGGGGCACCCGAAGUACCUCCGAUAAGAGAGGUCCUAAGGUGAAACUUCUGAUUGGCACUAAGUCAUAACAAGGUAUCCGUACGAGAACGUGCGGAUGGACCACCUCCUUU
rnacentral:rRNA from 1 species